GCUUAAUGAGUGAUAUGUGAGUAUUUGCUUGGGCUCUCUCUCUCUAGUGGACCUACGGACUGACUCAGGCAGGGAGCCAUUUACUUCAAGAGCAGCCUUCCUGCUGAUAUCUUUUCUCUUUCUCUCUCAAACUGGAUGUCAUCUCCAAGGUGUCCCUCAAUUAACUCCAGGCUGUCACUGUGUGAUCUGCACCUUACAGCUCUGCCAAAAUGAAUAUUUGCAAUCCUGUUUGCAACUGCAUUUCCACUGUCAGCAAGGCAGUCCUGUCAUUUAAGCGCUGUGGGUUUGUUGGAUGUAUCAAGCGGGUUAAAGAAGCCGCGAUAUCCAUCUGAACGGACACCGAUCACUGCCCCUAUGGAAGGUCCUCGUCUGAGAAAGUCCUCAGCGAGCCGCCGACAGCACACAGCGCUACUGUCCACAUUGGUCCACAAGCUGACUGGAUUUGUCUGUGUGCCACAACAACAUACUGGCAGUGGUCAAAUAAUGCACACAAGUUAAAAAACUGCAGUUCUGAAGUGGAACAACAAAGCCACAGCUCAUGAGAUGGAUUCUGCUGUGGCCGAUCACCUCAAGCAUGCCCCCUGCAGAGCUUUUAACUUUUUUUUUUUCUUUUCUUGUUUGACUUCUCAGAAACUAAAAUGCAAGAUUUUGUCUUGUUAAAUAAUCACCUUGAUUUCCUUUACAUUAAAACAUUGAAAAUCAUGUACAAUACUGACACAGCUUAUGGUUCAAAGGUUUGAAAAUUCUUUCUGAAUUGAUGCAUAGGAUCUUUGUCUUAGUCCUAACGAAGUUCAUGGUCCAGUUUCAUGUUCCACAAAUGAAAUUAAUAAUAACUACACGUUUUCAAUAAAGUUUCCAUUUAACAAA